AAAAAUUAACACCAACUGCCUAACCAUUGCUUAACAACAUUAUUGGCCUGUGAAUUUAACAAGUUUAGAUAAGGUUCAUUAAUACUUGAAGUUCUUUUAUGAGUGACAAUCUGCCCCAAUGUGUUUAUCCCAGCUUGUGUUAUUACUUACUACAGACAGUGGGUAUAUGUUCGAGCCAAGACACGAGAGUAAUGCCCAGUGGUUCAUUACGGAGUAUCGCCAGAAGUAUUAUACGUAUCAAGGUUAUGUAAUAUAAUCUUAUUUGUGACUGGUACAUUUAUUUGAUGUCUUUGUUGUUAAUUCAAUAUGAAGUGUUGAAAUUCUCACGAUGUAUUUUUUUUCAUAUUACUGUAUUGAAUUUACUUUGUAUAACCCGAGUUGAGUGUUAUAUAAUUUUGUGUUUAUUUCAUUACUUUUUCAGUGCUGGUGACCGUAAUCGUGAACUAAGUAGAAAGUGUUUUAGCUCUCGGUCGACGUCAGUUUAUGACAAUUUAAUUUAUCAAUAUAACACGAGUUUAGUUUUAUAUUUGGUAUUAUUGUAUUUUUGUGUUGUUUCUAUUAGCUAAUAAUUUUAAUGCAUAGGGCGUGAGUUUCCAGCAGUAUAGACUUCCAGGCAUUGUCAGUAAGUGUACUAUAUUAUUUGAGAACUAAUACAUGUAUAAUAUCAGCAAUUGCAUUGAUUGGGUUGGAGACUCUUUAGUGAAAUGGACACCUUCAAAAGAAUACAAUCUUUGAAAAUGGAUUGUUGAAAUUACAUGUAAGGACGAUCAAUUGUGUGAGUACAGCACAGAGUAAUGGUUCACACAGUGUUGCACCAUUGUUACUACCAUUGUUUUUGAGUGUGUACAGUAAGUGUGUCCUGAUAAGUGACAAAAGAAUACAGUGAUACAUUUUCCUCAUGUAUUCACCUGUGAAGCCUUAAAGUAAAAGUUCUCACAUCCAGUAUUAUCACUAGUGGUGGUGAUGGAUAAUUUGAGCAGUAUUUCAGGUGUUUUUAUGUAUUUGAAGGCGUCCACUGUGUUGUGUUGUGUAGUUACAGUGAGUUGUGACCUCCAGGCAUGAUGGCCGUCACAAGGGGACAGUUCAGGGCAGCCACCAGUUGUCUCAUCAGGAGAACGGUCUGAUGGACAGGAAGGUGUAGGAGGGAAGAAGAGUAAGGAAUGCCUCUUGUACUAGUUAAUGAGAGACACCGGCAUCAGUGUUGUCGAGAUAUCUUCAAAGGGUUGUAGAGCUUUAAACUGGACCUUCUUGGUUGUUGAUGUGCCAUGGUGAAGUGCACGAUCUUGUUGUGUUGUACGUGGCUUUUGGUGAUUUUUAGAAGAAAGUGAGAGAAUUGAGAAUUGUUUUAAGUAUUUUGUAGAGGGAUUGUCAAGGAUGCAGUAAGGACAUAGAGAUUGUACGAUGGAUUGGCAUAAGUGUACAAUCAUCUGAAGGGUAUCUGUUACUGGAGUGAGUAAAGAUACCAGGUGUGAGAUCUCAAGUCCUGUUGUUGGUGUAUACUGUAGGUGUGGUGUUUGUGGCUUGUCAGUAGUACCGGGUAUGGAAGCUCGGCACUGAUACCGCUACAUGGUUAAUGCUAUAAGUAACAGACACUCCUUGGUUUGGUUGGGUUCCCAUAAGGACGGUUUCAUUUUGCGUAGGAUUCCUGGGAAUAUCUCCGCUCGUUCGGGCUCCCUCGAUGUUGCUCCAUCUCGUGAGUGUGACAUGACUCUUCGUAAUAGAGUAAAACAAAUCAUUCCUCCGGCUCGAUGGGGUCCGGUCAUCUAUGUCCUAGUUUGAGAAAUCUAUGUUAAAUCUCAGGGUGUUCAGUAAGCAUUUGACCAACGCCUAAGAGAAACUUUCCUGUGCUUGUGAACAUUGAAAUGUGUGUUCUGUAAUUUAAUGUAUUUGGUUGUGCAUUUUAUCUUCCAAUAUUAAAGUGUAUUCUGUAAUAUGUAACAUGAUUUAUUGUAUGGUACAGUAUGUUGUAUCUGUAACGUCUCACAGUGUGUGCACCAUAUCGUGAAACCAAUAACAGAAAAUAACAGUUAUUUAAGGAAUCAAUGUAAUUACAGUACAUGUUUUGUGAACUUUACUGCUUAAUAUGAAUCUUGGGGAAGGGAGGAGCAGUGUCGUGGUCAUAAUGACAUGGCUGGUCUGUUAAAACCUAAUAAUUCAUAUCACGCUCCAUGCCCACCAAACCUGUAAACCUUUUGAGUCUCCCAGUUGAAACAUUUGUUCUCUAAUCACUUCAGGAGACCCGAGUCCUCUGUUUUCUGUGUCGCAUUACCGGAAAGACUCAGGUAAUCCAAAAUACCACACGGGGUGUUCAUGAAAUUUGAAUUGGUGAGGGAACACCCUUGCUUUGCGUCAACUUAGAGAUGUCUAAUUACAAAUGAAGCAUUCAAGAUCCGUUGUGACUGAUGUUUAAAGCUUCAAUUGUGUUUACUGUUAACGUAAUUGUCAAUAUAAGUCAGGGUAGAGUCGGCAGUGAGAGUAAGGUAUCGUUGACGUCGGCCCUAGAGAUGCCAGUGAUUGUUGACCUAGGCUGACGUUACCUCUUUUACACACAUGAACAUCAGAGAACCUGAUGUUCAUGGUGAAAUUGUUGUCAGGAUGUUAAUUAUGAAAGUAAUUAAUUAACCUGAAAGGAACUGUCAGACCAGGCAUCUUUGAGAAUCUAACGGGUGUAACCCGAUACUGCUUUUCUUAGGCUCCGCCCACCAGGGACUACCAUCCUCAACCUUGAAAUCAAUUUAAUUCUUGUCUUCAACAGCUCAGUCAGAGUGUAGUUUGAGAAGCAAACCUUAGGAAAUGGAAAUGAGUUGGUAGUCUCAGUUUGACACAUCCAAGUGUACAGUAACGUACUAUUUUACCGUCAUUCUUUUCCAUUGGUUGAUACAGUACAGUACAGUAUACCCACGUGUCAUAACCCUCAGUUAUGGAGUAACUGUAUGAAGUAACAAAACUAAGCUAUAACUACUUUCUAUACUUUAUGAAAUAAGAAAAAGAAAGAAGGAAAAAGUUUGAAGAGUUUAAAAGUUAACCAUAAUGGGAUAAAUUAAUAAGAAAAUACAUCAAAUAACUCCCUCCUUUACACUUUGUUUAUUUUCCCCAGGUCUGACUGUGGCUGAGCCUUGUCUACAGGUCUGUGUUGGUUCCCGGUGCAUUAACUAAGGAAAUAAAUGAUCCAGGAAUUAGCUCAGGUAGCCCUUGGACCGGCCAUCCUCGUACCCGGGGGACAACCAUUAUCUAUCUACAGUAUCUGUCUAUCUCAUAAUCUAUCUGGGCUGGCAGUGUCUUCAUCUCAGAAAGUGACAGUGACAUGGAGAUUAAGGAUAAGACCCGACCAUUGAUGAUAAUGUUAACCUCUCCUGCAACAUUAAAGUACAGUACCAGGAUAUGCUGCUUACAACAUGAUGGACACCAUGCAUCAUGAGAUGUGAGCCAAGAUUGAGUGGUCAGAAUGUGCCAGACCUCACCUGGUAUGAAGGGUCAAGAUAAGUGCCGGAGGAGCAGACGCAGACUUGUGUUGACGGCUACUCUGGUUAUCUGGUCUGACCCGAGAUGACUUCCACCGUAAAUUCACCUGCACAGAAGCCGUCGGUAAACAGAGCAAGACCAUCACACUUGAUAUGAUAUGUGAGUACGGGACAGUAUUGUACUCUGAGUAGUGCCUAACCAAACCAGACCUAGAUGUGGUGUGGUGUGGCGUGGCAGAAGAAAGUAAACAUUAAUGACUUUGCGGGACAAUGUACAGCGGGGAGGGUUAAGAGGUUGUUUCUGGGGUUGAAAGAUGGUACGAUAUUGUUUAUGAAACUGCAUGUGUGUGUUGUGGCAACCUGUGGUGUAAAGGUCAGCCUCAGAGGAAGUGAUCCCCGGGCGGGUCAGAUCUAUAGGUAAGUUGUUUCCUUCAAGGACUCUGUCUGCCCAGCAGUAAAUGGAAACCUGGAUGUUAAUAGAUUUGUGGAUUGUGUUGUGGGGUAAUUGUGAGUUGUCCAGUCCUCUUGGAUUAUUCCCCGACACUGGGUUCACAGCUUGCUAACAUUGGCUGAGGUUGAUGAAAGUUUCUGUACCUUCAAAAAAAAAAAAAUCAUGCCCUGGUGACAGUAGGGCUGCGAGGGCCACCCAUUAUUAUUAUUGUGCAUUAAUGAAGAGUUUUCUUCAGGGCCUCCAGUGGAUGUUAAGAUCAGGGUUAAAGACCAGUUGAACAAUGGUUGUGGGGAAGUGAAAGAUGGUGUACCAGUAACCUUUGUGUGUAAUGCUGAUGGUUGACAACCUUCGUCUGUUAUCACCUGGGAUUUCUCUGAUCACUCAACAAGUAAGUUACUCUUUUACACAACUGUACUAUUAUACUGUACUACCCUUUAAUGUGGUCACUUUUAUUACAGGAUUAGCCCACCAGAGCACAGGUCAGUGACCCACACCAAUGUCUGGGGGCAAAAAUAUAAUAAUAAAAAUAAUAAUAAUAAUAAUUAAUAAAAUAGAUAAAUUAAAAAUUAUAAAAAUAUAAUAAUAAAGAACCAUAAAUUAAGAAAAAUCAAUACUAGUGAGACACGAUAUAUAUAUGGGAAUCAUUUAUUGUAAGAGGUGAGUGAAGAGAACUGAUGAUACUACAGGUUUUCUGUAUAAUAACUAUGCCUAACAUUUAUAACUGCUUGAGUUACUCUAUUUCUGCUACCUUGAUAAGCAUCACCUAAAGUUAUGGGUCUUUUGCAAAUUUCCUUUGGAGUUUGUGUUUUUAUUUUAUAAUUGCCUUUAUUUCACUGUUAAUGUACUGUAGGGUUUGGGCAGUUUUUAAUACCUUAGUCUUGAGGGGGAAGCAUUUAUCAAAGGAAACAUUGAAGAUGCCAGAGAAGUUGCAGCUGUUUACGUUAGGGUUGUAGUAUACUGCCAGAUUCUGGGGUCACUAAG